AACGAACGCUGGCGGCAGGCCUAACACAUGCAAGUCGAGCGGACCCUUCGGGGUUAGCGGCGGACGGGUGAGUAACGCGUGGGAAUAUGCCCUUCUCUACGGAAUAGUCCUGGGAAACUGGGGGUAAUACCGUAUACGCCCUUUGGGGGAAAGAUUUAUCGGGGAAGGAUUAGCCCGCGUUGGACUAGGUAGUUGGUGGGGUAAUGGCCUACCAAGCCGACGAUCCAUAGCUGGUUUGAGAGGAUGAUCAGCCACACUGGGACUGAGACACGGCCCAGACUCCUACGGGAGGCAGCAGUGGGGAAUCUUAGACAAUGGGGGCAACCCUGAUCUAGCCAUGCCGCGUGAGUGAUGAAGGCCUUAGGGUUGUAAAGCUCUUUCAGCUGGGAAGAUAAUGACGGUACCAGCAGAAGAAGCCCCGGCUAACUCCGUG
rnacentral:rRNA from 1 species